AUUUUCAUAGUUUAAUUACAAAACUUAACUCUUUCAUAGUUAAAAUGAGGGACCCUUUUCUCUCUGUGAAUA
rnacentral:tRNA from 1 species